rnacentral:sRNA from 1 species
CGGAGUUUUUAUCUUCAUCUUUAGUACUGUACUGUUCCUCAGGUUCAUUGAGGAGGCACUGAGAACAAAUGGGAUAUUUUUUCCAUGAUGAGGGAAAAAACCCCAACCCUGAGAGAGAUUCAGUGAGGAUAGCGGGAGACGGAAAAGUUAGACCUCAGAGCACUUCUCUGCCAGCUCUUCUAUUCUUUUUUCAAGUCCCUUGUGGGCAAGGAUGUGGUCGUGGAACUAAAGAAUGACCUGAGCAUCUGUGGAACCCUCCAUUCUGUGGAUCAGUAUCUCAACAUCAAACUAACUGACAUCAGUGUCACAGACCCUGAGAAAUACCCUCACAUGUUAUCAGUGAAGAACUGCUUCAUUCGGGGCUCAGUGGUCCGAUACGUGCAGCUGCCAGCAGAUGAGGUCGACACACAGUUGCUACAGGAUGCGGCAAGGAAGGAAGCCCUGCAGCAGAAACAGUGAUGGCUCCUCCUCCUCUUCCCCUCCCUCUUUCAUUGGUGACCCAUAACCCCAAGUCCCAGCCCAGAACCCCUAACCCCCAAUACUUGAAGGGGUUUUGUUUUUUUACUAAUGAUGGUUUUGUGGGUUUUUUUUUAAGGGAUGAGUGGAUGAGAGGAGUAAUAGGGAACAGCUAUCCUCUCUUGAGAAGGGGAGGAUAAGUAGGCUGGGAAACUUCAAAGCCUUCCCAGUCCCCAGCACAUGCCUUUCUCACUACUUCUCUGGAGAUGGUAGGAGAGUUUCCUAGGUCUUUCCAGGGCAGCAUGUGAUUCAUUUGGGGAUGGAAGGAAUCUGUCCCGCAUCGGGAAUAAAAUUUAUGAUGCAAA